AGAGUUUGAUCAUGGCUCAGAUUGAACGCUGGCGGCAUGCUUUACACAUGCAAGUCGAACGGCAGCGCGGGCUUCGGCCUGGCGGCGAGUGGCGAACGGGUGAGUAAUGCAUCGGAACGUACCCAGUCGUGGGGGAUAACACAUCGAAAGAUGUGCUAAUACCGCAUACGUCCUGAGGGAGAAAGCGGGGGACCUUCGGGCCUCGCGCGAUUGGAGCGGCCGAUGUCAGAUUAGCUAGUAGGUGGGGUAAAGGCCCACCUAGGCGACGAUCUGUAGCGGGUCUGAGAGGAUGAUCCGCCACACUGGGACUGAGACACGGCCCAGACUCCUACGGGAGGCAGCAGUGGGGAAUUUUGGACAAUGGAGGCAACCCUGAUCCAGCCAUGCCGCGUGAGUGAAGAAGGCCUUCGGGUUGUAAAGCUCUUUCGGCCGGGAAGAAAUCGCAUCUUUUAAUAGAGGGUGUGGAUGACGGUACCGGACUAAGAAGCACCGGCUAACUACGUGCCAGCAGCCGCGGUAAUA
rnacentral:rRNA from 1 species